CCCUGUAGAAGUAUUUCCUCAUAAUCAGACACGCUCAAGCUGCAAAGGGCAACUAGAGGCGAUCUCCAUCUUUCUAAUCACCACUUCAGUCUUACAGUCUCUCCUUCUCCCCAGGUGUCAGAGGUUAGGACAAGGUCACUACCACAGCUGUUGCUACUGAUGAGCAUUCUGUCCCUGUCUCUGUCUUCCUGCCUUCUGUAUUCUCUCUCCCCAUCUUGUUCAAGCUUCCUGUGGGAUGACAUAACACCACAUUCUAAAUUCUAAAUUGCUUAGUAUUUCUGCCACUUUUCUAAGACUAGGAAAAGCAGCAAACACUACAAGCCCCAGAAUUCUUAGCAAGGAUCCUGACAAUUUCCUCUGUCUGCAAGGGAAGAAGGUGAUGCAAAGGGCUGUUGCACCUAUAAAGAAAUCAACUUUUAUAAGACAUAUUGGAAUGAAAACCAGAUGUAUCUGUGGAUGGGGGAUACAAGGCUCUGCCCGGCCUAUCCAGAAACAGCUAUAAGAGCUAUGAGAAACUGCUUGUUACAGAAACCAGGCAGCUCCCCACCCAGGAGAGAGAUAAAGAGCCCUGACUCUCAGAGAUAAACCCCAUUAGCAUGUGGGCCCCUCAAGGUUAGGAACCCUGUUUUUGCUUUUCUUCCUUUCUUUCUUUCUUUCUUUCUUUUUUUUUUUUGGUACGCCCAGUGCUUAGCCUGGUAUAUAGCAAGCACUUAAUACAUGUUUAUUGAUGAUGAUAGUGAUAAAACUGGAGAAUGAGCUUUCAUGGAAAUGGAGACUGAGGAGGUUGGACAGACUCACUAAAUGAAGUCUUGGAGACAGCUUAGCCAGAGGCCCUAAGUCUUGCCAGAGUAGAGUGGUCAGUGAGGAAGACAAAAUUCCCCUUUCCAUUCCUUCCUUCCUUGGAGGCAGAUUGUACGCAGAAGCCCUUUGAUCUGAAAAGACUAGCACCUCUCCUAUAUCCCAAAAUUUUGAGAACACACAUGAAUUUUUUUUCCUGGGGAGAAUGUAAAGGCAAUAUGGGG
rnacentral:lncRNA from 1 species